AAGAAAUACUUUGCAUGAAUAAAGUUUAAUCCUUUCCAGUGCUACAGUGAAAAUUUCACACUACAUUUCAUUGCAUAUAAGAAAGUAACCUGCACCGGAAGUAAACAAUCACAUUUUUACCAGGUUAUUUACUGGUUACCUGCUUUGGCAACUAUGUAACCUUAACUUUCCAAAAUAUUUUAUAAGACCAUCAAAUAAAAAAAAGAAUGAUGCUUUCAGACACCCAACAUACAUGUUUAUGACUCAGAAAAAUUUAAGUGCAUUGAAAUGCAGGGUUAAUUUUCUACAACUGUCAAAUUCAAGGGAAUAUUUUUUUAGACCUACUUUCGUAUGCAACCGGAUGUGGCGUAUCAUGAUUUGGUGGUAUUACACCUAAAGAACACCUAAAUGUCAAAUAAACUUAAUGUAAUUUUUUUCCCUCCAAUUGCAAGUUAUUUCAAGCAUAACUGCCAAGUUUUGUCUCAGUCAGAUCUAUAGUUUCAGAGAAAAUCACUAUAAUGUAAGGCCAUAUCCUACGGCAAUUUCAGUCUUAUUUCUUCGACAAAUCCAAAUUUCAGUGUAUCAUUAUAAAAUGCAGUGUUGACUAAUAUCUGAUCAAAAACUCAUGAUCUAUGCAUUCAAAC
rnacentral:lncRNA from 1 species